GACGAGGGAUCCUAGCGUUGCUCGGAAUUAUUGGGCGUGAAGCGGGUGUAGGUGGCUUGGUAAGUCAGAUGUGAAAGCCCUGGGCUUAACCCAGGAAGUGCAUUUGAUACUGACUGAGCUUGAGUGCGAGAGAGGUUAAUAGAAUACCUGGUGUAGUGGUGAAAUACGUAGAUAUCAGGUGGAACACCGGAGGCGAAGGCGGUUAACUGGCUCGACACUGACACUGAGACCCGAAAGUGCGGGGAUCAAACAGG
rnacentral:rRNA from 1 species